GCAGUCGACGCUGAAGCCUGGUGCUUGCCCGGGUGGAUGAGUGGCGAACGGGUGAGUAACACGUGAGUAACCUGCCCCUGACUUCGGGAUAAGCCCGGGAAACUGGGUCUAAUACCGGAUACGACUGCCGGACGCAUGUCUGGUGGUGGAAAGUUUUUUCGGUUGGGGAUGGGCUCGCGGCCUAUCAGUUUGUUGGUGAGGUAAUGGCUCACCAAGACGACGACGGGUAGCCGGCCUGAGAGGGCGACCGGCCACACUGGGACUGAGACACGGCCCAGACUCCUACGGGAGGCAGCAGUGGGGAAUAUUGCACAAUGGGGGAAACCCUGAUGCAGCGACGCAGCGUGCGGGAUGACGGCCUUCGGGUUGUAAACCGCUUUCAGCAGGGAAGAAGCGCAAGUGACGGUACCUGCAGAAGAAGUACCGGCUAACUACGUGCCAGCAGCCGCGGUAAUACGUAGGGUACGAGCGUUGUCCGGAAUUAUUGGGCGUAAAGAGCUCGUAGGUGGUUGGUCACGUCUGCUGUGGAAACGCAACGCUUAACGUUGCGCGUGCAGUGGGUACGGGCUGACUAGAGUGCAGUAGGGGAGUCUGGAAUUCCUGGUGUAGCGGUGAAAUGCGCAGAUAUCAGGAGGAACACCGGUGGCGAAGGCGGGACUCUGGGCUGUAACUGACACUGAGGAGCGAAAGCAUGGGGAGCGAACAGGAUUAGAUACCCUGGUAGUCCAUGCCGUAAACGUUGGGCACUAGGUGUGGGGGGCAUUCCACGUUCUCCGCGCCGUAGCUAACGCAUUAAGUGCCCCGCCUGGGGAGUACGGUCGCAAGGCUAAAACUCAAAGGAAUUGACGGGGGCCCGCACAAGCGGCGGAGCAUGCGGAUUAAUUCGAUGCAACGCGAAGAACCUUACCAAGGCUUGACAUACACCGGACCGUCCUGGAAACAGGUCCUCUUCUUUGAAGCUGGUGUACAGGUGGUUGCAUGGUUGUCGUCAGCUCGUGUCGUGAGAAUGUUUGGGUUAAGUCCCGCAACGAGCGCAACCCUCGUUCUAUGUUG
rnacentral:rRNA from 1 species